rnacentral:rRNA from 1 species
UGGGGAAUAUUGCACAAUGGAGGGAACUCUGAUGCAGCGACGCCGCGUGAACGAAGAAGGCUUUCGAGUCGUAAAGUUCUUUUAUAUGGGAAGAUAAUGACGGUACCAUAAGAAAAAGCCCCGGCUAACUACGUGCCAGCAGCCGCGGUAAUACGUAGGGGGCUAGCGUUGUCCGGAAUCACUGGGCGUAAAGGGUUCGCAGGCGGAAAUGCAAGUCAGGUGUAAAAGGCAGUAGCUUAACUACUGUAAGCAUUUGAAACUGCAUAUCUUGAGAAGAGUAGAGGUAAGUGGAAUUUUUAGUGUAGCGGUGAAAUGCGUAGAUAUUAAAAAGAAUACCGGUGGCGAAGGCGACUUACUGGGCUCAUUCUGACGCUGAGGAACGAAAGCGUGGGUAACAAACAGG